GCCAGGGGACCAGUGUCUGUCCUAGUGUGGGAUAACUAAAGGGCAGAGCUGGGAUAGGAACCCAGGUCGAUUCUCUGCUGGCCCCUGGCCCUAGGCCGAGGGAAGUGUGUUCUUGGACCAGACUUAGAACGUUGGGUAGACGUUGAUGGGUGGAGAUAACUGAAGACCCUCGGCUCUGAUGAGCUGCUAAGACCUGGGGAAGGCUCGGAUCCUGAGAGACCACCCUUUUGUACCUCGGUCACAGCGGCUGGAGUGAUGAAAGCUAAUAUAACAUGGGGUUUGCUAUUUGGGUUGACAGACCAGGCCAGGGCAGCCUACAGAGGCUGGCUGUGCCCUGCAUAGCCAGGGGAUCUAGCAGCUGCUCAGUCCAAGAAGCUGGAAGCCCCAGAAGAGGACAGAUGAGGACGCAUCGCCAGUCUGAGACUGAGGCCUGAAGCUCUGUGGAGAGUUGCUGGUUGAGUCCACACUGAGAGGCUGAAGGAGCUGGAAUUUGAUGCCCACAGACAAUGGCUGUAGCAAAAGACACACCCACUCUAGCAGAAUGGAGCAUUCCCAACCACAGGCCAACUUCCUUCUUCUUCUGCUUUCUCCUCUCUCUGGGCUGGGGACCUGCUGGAAGAUGACACCCACGUGAGGCCUUGUUUUCCCCCUCAGUUUGCUGCCUACAUGCCAGUCAUCUCUGGAAACACCCCACAGACACCCAGGGGCAUGCUGUACUCAUCUGCUAGAUGUUUCUCAAUGCAGUCAGGUUGACAAUCAUUGUUAAUGGUCACAACCCACCCCUAGUUAAUUUUACAGCCAAACACAUCUCUAAAUAAAGACAAGAGCAAGUUCAUAAUUGUCCCUAUCAUUGUGCAACUCCCACGUACCGCUGGAAAUGCCCUAACUCCUAUUCCACAACAGAAGGCAAAGGUUUUCUGUGGCUGAUGCUUAUUCUUUAGACAUUCCAUAACUUACAUAUUAUAAUGUAGAUUUAACAAUACUUGCCUGUGAUAUUAAGUCAAUAAAGUGAAAAAGAUACAA